CCCUUAGAUGUUCUGGGCCGCACGCGCGCUACACUGAUGCAUUCAACGAGUCUAAAACCUGCUCUGAUAGGGGUGGGUAAUCUUUUGAAUGUGCAUCGUGAUUGGGAUAGAUGAUUGCAAUUUUUCAUCUUCAACGAGGAAUGCCUAGUAAACGCAAGUCAUCAGCUUGCAUUGAUUACGUCCCUGCCCUUUGUACACACCGCCCGUCGCUCCUACCGAUUGAAUGAUCCGAUGAAUAUCAUGGAUUGAGGAUUAUAGCAGGUUCGCCUGUCUUGAUCUUCGAGAAGUGAAGUAAAUCUGAUCAUUGAGAGGAAGGAGAAGUCGUAACA
rnacentral:rRNA from 1 species